GUGAGCUGACCGCCACGUUUGGUGGAGUGGCAUUUGCAAAAUUUGAGAAACGGGCACGGAUGAGCCGCACGCGCCAGUCAGUCCGACUCAACCAGACUCUCUUUUUUUCCUGUUUGUUCUAAAACCGGUAUUGCAGGUAUUGCCUUUUGUAAUCGACGCCCUCAUUAUGACUUUGGAUGGCAGUUAGAAACCGUAACCGAUCUUGUGCUCCAUUAAAAAGAAAAACGUUGUGGCGUAUUGUAAUUAUUUACGAACGUGGUGGAUGGAUGGAAGGGUGGAUGAUUUCCCUGGAGGGUGAAUCUGGAACAUGAUCGGAACGUGACUGCUGCAUGCAAUCGUCACUACAUUUUUAAAAUCGUUUUAGCGCAGAAUACAAUUUGGAUACAAAGUGAAAUGCAGUCUGUUGAAUGGUGCAAUGGGAAGCAAGAGUGAAGAUGUUUGCAGCGUGACCUUGCCUUCAGCAUGAAGGUGCUACCUGGGGCCUAUUCUGAGCGCGCAUAAUCAGCUUACCAGGUUGAACACUGUCUCCACGACGUCUCGGUUGGAAACUUCCCCAACUUCCAUGAGUCCGGCCAGCACGGCGAAUUUCAUCCGGAUACCUCGGAUGGGUACAGCGGGGUUGAGCGGCAAAUUGCCCGGCGUGACCUCCUCGCUCGCCAUUGCUCAAGGUGGGAGGGCAGGUGGCGUCCACAGGUAAAGCCACCUGUUCGCCUCCAAUGGCGGAGGUGCUCAGUCAAAGGCGGAAAGGGAGCGAAAGGCUCGCUUUAAUGUCCCUCCGGAGUUGCUGGUGGGAGUCUAAAGGCACAUGAGUAGCUUCCUCGCCAUUCGAUAUCAAUAAAGUCAAAGUACAAAGAGUGCCGCUUCGUUGUUAGAAACUAUUCCUCUUCCGAGUCCGAAACUUGAUAGCCCACAGGCGGAUGGAUUAAUGCCGUCCAAUGAAGAAGCCAGGGGUGAGGUAAUGGUCGGGGGUGGCAGGUAGAACCACGGCUUGCCUUUCCCCGACGCUCGCUUCCUUGGAAAGCCUCCAAAAAAAGAGCCACUCUACAACCGGCGGAAGUUGCUAUUGUCACGGAGUCCGUACACUUGACAGGUAGCGGCGGCAAACUCUCAAAGCUCGCUUACACGCCGAAUGAACCACCGUGUACGGAAGAAGAGAGGUGGGGAGGGUGGUGUCCGGUCGUCUCGGGAAAGUCCACUCAAGCCCGGCUGAAGAGAGUGAAGCGUUCACCCAGCUGCUCGCUGCGUCCGCCCUUCGCUUCCUGAUAUGCUCCCCGGUAGCUUUCAGACCGUCACCGCCAUGACAGUAGAAGCCCGCGAGUGAGGAAGCAUGCGCAUGCGCGCGGAGGAGUCGUCAGUCGGAGCGGGCUGGUUCCGCUCAAGAGGUGGGGAGCGCGGCAGGUGUGCGGCUCAGGUGUCGCCAGAAUUAAACGUCACGUUUUUUUUAUUAUUAUUUCUGUAGUCCUCCAUGAAAGCAUAAUCCCAGUUUUGUAUCUAAUCAAAACAUUUCCAAGCAUCUGCUUUUGCUUUGUAUAUCGAGGAAUAAUAUUUUACUAGUUUUACUCACAAACCAGUAAUCAUCAUUUUGUCAGCGCAUUUCCUGCGGUGUUAAUUUGUUUUCAUUUCCUGUUUUUGAAUGAAUUGUUACUUGACAAAAAUUUGAUGGAUUAAUCCCUUAUUAAAUAAAAGAUGGGGUUUUUAGGGGGGGCGGUGCUAUCAAGGUAAAUUGCAGGUUGCCACUUUAUUUCAUGUUCAUGUAUUAAUAGGACGUACUUUGACGUUAACCAAAAAUUAAAUCUCAUGAAAACCGUA